rnacentral:rRNA from 1 species
CCUACGGGUGGCAGCAGUGAGGAAUAUUGGUCAAUGGGCGGAAGCCUGAACCAGCCAAGUCGCGUGAGGGAUUAAGGCCCUGUGGGUUGUAAACCUCUUUUGCCGGGGAGCAGUGGUCCGGACGUGUCGCGGCCGGGAGAGUACCCGGAGAAAAAGCAUCGGCUAACUCCGUGCCAGCAGCCGCGGUAAUACGGAGGAUGCGAGCGUUAUCCGGAUUUAUUGGGUUUAAAGGGUGCGUAGGCGGGCAUUAAAGCCGGCGGUAAAAUGUCGGGGCUCAACCCCGGUCUGCCGUCGAAACUGGGGGCCUUGAGUGGGCGAGAAGUAUGCGGAAUGCGUGGUGUAGCGGUGAAAUGCAUAGAUAUCACGCAGAACCCCGAUUGCGAAGGCAGCAUACCGGCGCCCUACUGACGCUGAGGCACGAAAGUGCGGGUAUCGAACAGGAUUAGAUACCCGAGUAGUC